CGAGUACGUCGGUUAACUGCGCGUAUGCGAGGAAAGUCCGUGCUUCACAGAGUAAGGAUGCCGGAUAACGUCCGGUGGGGGCGACCCUAAGGCUAGUGCAACAGAGAGAUACCGCCUGAAAAGGUAAGGGUGGAAAGGUGAGGUAAGAGCUCACCAGCGCAUAGGCGACUAUGCGGCUAUGUAAACCCCAUCCGAAGCAAGACCAAAGUGGAUUAAAGGCGAUUACUCGUCGCCUCCGGAUAGGUAGGUCGCUAGAGCCUCCGGUGACGGAAGGUCCAGAUAGAUAGUUAACGAAUACAAAACACGGCUUAUAGACGUAGUCGACAA
rfam:Peptoniphilus coxii strain DNF00729 genomic scaffold Scaffold148, whole genome shotgun sequence.